AGAAACUCAAAGGAAUUGACGGGGGCCCGCACAAGCGGAGGAACAUGUGGUUUUAAUUCGAUGGGUACGCGAGGAACCUUACCUGGGCUUAAAUGGGGAGUGACAGCUGUCGAAAGAUGGUUUUCUUCGGACACUCUUCAAGGUGCUGCAUGGUUGUCGUCAGCUCGUGCCGUGAGGUGUCGGGUUAAGUCCCAUAACGAGCGCAACCCUUACCGUUAGUUACCAUCAGGUUAAGCUGGGGACUCUAGCGGGACUGCCGCCGUAAGGUGAGAGGAAGGUGGGGAUGACGUCAAAUCAGCACGGCCCUUAUGUCCAGGGCUACACACGUGUUACAAUGGCCGGUACAAAGGGCAGCUACUUCGCGAGAAGAUGCUAAUCUCGAAAGCCGGUCUCAGUUCGGAUCGAAGUCUGCAACCCGACUUCGUGAAGCUGGAUUCGCUAGUAAUCGCGCAUCAGCCAUGGCGCGGUGAAUACGUUCCCGGGCCUU
rnacentral:rRNA from 1 species